rnacentral:rRNA from 1 species
GCGGAGGAAAAGAAACUAACAAGGAUUCCCCUAGUAAUGGCGAAUGAAGCGGGAACAGCUCAAAUUUAAAAUCUGCGUUGCUUGCGACGCCGAAUUGUAGUUUCUAGAAGCACUUUCUAGGCGAGUCGGCUCCGUCCAAGUUGCUUGGAACAGCACGUCAUAGAGGGUGACAACCCCGUCUGUGGCGGAAACGACCGCUCACGAUGUGUUUUCGACGAGUCGGGUUGUUUGGGAAUGCAGCCCAAAAUGGGUGGUAAACUCCAUCUAAAGCUAAAUAUUGGCACGAGACCGAUAGCGAACAAGUACCGUGAGGGAAAGAUGAAAAGCACUUUGAAAAGAGAGUUAAAAAGUACGUGAAACCGUUAAAAGGGAAACGGAUGGGGUUAGCAAUGCACCUUGCGAGAUUCAGCCGGGCGUCGCGUCGGGCGAGCGGUUUGCGGAUCUGAAUGGACCGUGGCCGUUCGGUUCGGCGCCUCUACCGUCGCACUUCUCGCGGGUGCGCGCCAACGUCGGUUAGCCGUGGGUUAAAAAGGUUCGGGCAAGGUAGGCUUUUCCUUUCGGGGAAGAGUUGUUAUAGGCCUGGGCUGUAUGACCCGCGGGUGACCGAGGAGUCGCGGUGCAUGCCUUUUUGGCUAGGGUCCCGUCUUGCCGGUCGGUAGUCAACUGUGGUGGACUGCAUGCAGUGCACUGCGACUGCUGCCGGUCGCUGAGGCGGUGAUUUCGUACUAUGCGCCAAGGACGUUGGCGGUCACAUGGCCUCAUUCGACCCGUCUUGAAACACGGACCAAGGAGUCUAACAUGUGCGCGAGUCUUUGAGUGAAGGAAACUCGCAGGCGCAAUGAAAGUGAAGGCGGCCUAGCCGUUGAGGUGAGAGCCCGCUUGCGGGUGCAUCAUCGACCGACCUAUUCUGCUCUCAGGAAGGUUUGAGUAAGAGCGCAUCUGUUGGGCCCGAAAGAUGUGAA